rnacentral:rRNA from 1 species
CUAGCUGUAAACGAUGGAUACUAGGCGUUGAGAGUAUCGACCCUCUCAGUGUCGUAGCUAACGCGUUAAGUAUCCCGCCUGGGGAGUACGCGCGCAAAGCGUGAAACUCAAAGGAAUUGACGGGGGCCCGCACAAGCGGUGGAGUAUGUGGUUUAAUUCGAUGCAACGCGAAGAACCUUACCAGGGCUUGACAUGUCCGGAACCCUGCCCAAAGGCGGGGGUGCCUACGGGAACCGGAACACAGGUGGUGC